AUGAACAGACUCAUUCCAACAGGCAAUAAAAACAGAGCAGGGGUUCAGUCAUCGUCGUCGUGGGAACCAGGCUGCACUAUUGUGUGCCUGUUUAAACUCUGUGUUAUAUGCUUUGAGUUUAGUCAACCGGUUGGCCUGGGAAACCACAAACCAGCAAACCUAACCCAGUUAGUGUCCUUAGAUUGUCCCUUCCUCUCCAAACAUCACAAAAACAAAAAGACAGAACCUCAAACCAGCAGAUCACCAACACUGCAGCCAGAACUCAUCUGGACCCUUCCUGUGCAUGCUAUGAACACAUAUGUGCUGUUUGGUGUGCAUGCUAUGAACACGUAUGUCCUGUUUGGUGCGCAUGCU